AUGUCUCUUGAUGCUGCUGAGCUUGCCAAGCUCUUCGCUGGCGGUCUUCGAGAUGCAACAGACCUCCUGUGUUUUCUAGUGUGUUUGGCUGGACAUAUGUUGCUCGUCUUAUAUGAAAAGGGGUCGAUCUUUGUUCUAAAAAAGGAUGUCAAGAUAGGUAAGUUCGUGGCUUUGGACAACAUCGGCAGGUAUGCCAUCUUCAUUGGUCCUCAGAGGUGCCUGGCUGUCGAUGCUGACAAGUUCCCAGGCAUCGAGGCAAACUGCGCCUACUUCACUGAACAACUGGGUUCGUCCGUUCAUAUCUGCAAGUGCAACAUCAAGGACAGGAAAGUUGAGAGGAUCUCUGAAGCUGCCGAUUUCGUGAAGCAGGACAAGAAGUUUGCCCUCACCGCUGACCAUCCUUCGACGAUCAUCCACCUUCUCUCCGGCUACACCCUCAACAUCCCGGAUUCUCAACUGGCUUUGCAACAGGUUCCAUAA
rnacentral:rRNA from 1 species